GACGAACGCUGGCGGCGUGCCUAACACAUGCAAGUCGAACGGAAAGGCACUGCGUUUGUGGGGUGCUCGAUUGGCGAACGGGGGAUGAACACGUGAGUAACCUGCCCUUGACUUUGGGAUAACUUCACGAAACUGGGGCUAAUACAGGAUAGGAUCUCCUGCUGCGUGGUGGGGGUUGGAAAGUUUCGGCGGUUGGGGAUGGACUCGCGGCUUAUCAGCUUGUUGGUGGGGUAGUGGCUGACCAAGGCUUUGACGGGUAGCCGGCCUGAGAGGGUGACCGGCCACAUUGGGACUGCGAGAGGGCGCAGACUGCAAUGGGAGGCAACGGUGGGGAACAUUACACAGUGGGCGCGAGUCUGAUGCGGCGGCGCUGCGAGCGUGAUGACGGCCUUUUGGGUGAGAACAGCUGUCGCCUGAGACGAAGCGUGAGUGACGGUAACGGGUAAAGAAGCACCGGCUAACUACGUG
rnacentral:rRNA from 1 species